UUCCUGGUGGUCCAGCGGUGAAGACUGCUCUUUCAAUGCAGGGGAGGCCCAGGUUCAAUCCCUGGUCAGGGAA
rnacentral:tRNA from 1 species